rnacentral:rRNA from 1 species
GGCUGAAAUUCGCCUUCAUGAAGUCGGAAUUGCUAGUAAUGGCAGGUCAGCAUACUGCCGUGAAUACGUUCCCGGGCCUUGUACACACCGCCCGUCACACCAUGAGAGUUGGAGAUACCCGAAGCCUAUGAGCUAACUUUUAGAGGCAGUAGUCGAAGGUAGAAUCAAUGAUUGGGGUGAAGUCGUAACAAGGUAAC